GCCCUCUUGAUGGAAUUGGUAGACAUAACGGACUUAAAAUCCGUGGGCCGAUUAGGCUGUGCCGGUUCGAGUCCGGCAGAGGGCA
rnacentral:tRNA from 1 species